UACAUAGGUCUCAAGCGUUGUUCGGAUUCAUUGGGCGUAAAGGGUGCGUAGGUGGCGGGGCAAGUCAGGUGUGAAAUCUCGGGGCUCAACCCCGAAACUGCACUUGAUACUGCCUUGCUCGAGUACUGGAGAGGAGACUGGAAUUUACGGUGUAGCAGUGCAAUGCGUAGAUAUCGUAAGGAAGACCAGUGGCGAAGGCGAGUCUCUGGACAGUUACUGACACUGAGGCACGAAGGCCAGGGGAGCAAACGGG
rnacentral:rRNA from 1 species